rnacentral:rRNA from 1 species
CGGAGGCAGCAGUGAGGAAUUUUGGACAAUGGGGGCAACCCUGAUCCAGCCAUUCCGCGUGAGUGAAGAAGGCCUUCGGGUUGUAAAGCUCUUUCGGCAGGAACGAAACGGCUCUCUCUAACAUAGGGGGCUAAUGACGGUACCUGAAGAAGAAGCACCGGCUAACUACGUGCCAGCAGCCGCGGUAAUACGUAGGGUGCGAGCGUUAAUCGGAAUUACUGGGCGUAAAGCGUGCGCAGGCGGUUGUGUAAGACAGGUGUGAAAUCCCCGGGCUUAACCUGGGAAUGGCGCUUGUGACUGCACGACUGGAGUACGGCAGAGGGGGGUGGAAUUCCACGUGUAGCAGUGAAAUGCGUAGAGAUGUGGAGGAACACCGAUGGCGAAGGCAGCCCCCUGGGCUAGUACUGACGCUCAUGCACGAAAGCGUGGGCAGCAAACAGGAUUAGAUACCCUGGUAGC